CCAAUAGCGUAUAUUAAAGUUGUUGCAGUUAAAAAGCUCGUAGUUGAAUUUCGGGGUCAGUAGAUUGGUCGUGCCAUUGGUAUGCACUGGUCUUACUGGCUCCUCCUUCCUGAUGAACCGUAAUGCCAUUAAUUUGGUGUUGCGGGGAGACUGGACUGUUACUUUGAAAAAAUUAGAGUGUUUAAAGCAAGCUAACGCUUGAAUACAUUAGCAUGGAAUAAUGAAAUAGGACGUUCGAUCUUAUUUUGUUGGUUUCUAAGAUUGACGUAAUGAUUAAUAGGGAUAGUUGGGGGCAUUAGUAUUCAAUUGUCAGAGGUUAAAUUCUUGGAUUUAUUGAAGACUAACUACUGCGAAAGCAUUUGCCAAGGAUGUUUUCAUUAAUCAAGAACGAAAGUUAGGGGAUCGAAGACGAUCAGAUACCGUCGUAGUCUUAACCAUAAACUAUGCCGACUAGGGAUCGGAUGAUGUUAAUUUUUUAAUGACUCAUUCGGCGCCUUACG
rnacentral:rRNA from 1 species